UAAUAAACAGCCAAUAUGCUAGAAAUAUGCAUGCUAAUAAGCAACUAGUUAAUAAUGAGAAUGGGUCGCUAUACUAAAGUGUUACAGCAGAAAAUAUUAUGUG